GUCGGACAUGCGCGCUGGCUCUCGGGUCUGGGCUUGAGGGACCCGGAAGCAGUUGUGCGUAUCUGCUUUUACUUUAGCCCGUCUAAAAUAACAAUCGGCUUCUAGUUCCUCAUUUUGAUAUAAGGGGAAGUAAAUGUGGCUCCCAACCUGCUGGAUGUCAGAUGCACUGAGUUUAUGUUCCCCAAAUUGGCGAAAGAAUUCUAAGGAAUAACAGAAUUUAAAGAGUACGAACUUUACUAAGAGCGAGAUAGCUCCUGAGACUCAAGAGGGAACCCAAAAGUGUAUGGCCAAUGAAUCCACUUCUCAAAGGAAGUUCUUUAGAGCAAAAUCAUAAGAAUAGCCAGUGGGGUCGCAGGAGCGUCCCCCACUCACAGCCCGCGAGUGCUCUGUCUGCCUGCCUGCUGCGCGCGCUCCCCGGCCAGCGGCUGCUCCCCUCACCUCCGCAGCCCCCACCUUCGGAGGAGAGAGGGUUCCUAACUUCUACGUAAGUAUGGAUGGACAAGGGUAAGUCAUUUAAAAAGAGCUUCUAUAAACUUUAACAGGGUCAGGGAUUUAGCUCAGCAGCAUAAGUGCCUGCCUAGCAAGCACGAGGUCAUGAGUUCAAUCCCCAGUUCCAAAAAAGAAAAAAACAAAACAAAACAAAACAAAACAACCAAAAAGAUUAACUGGAGUCAAUGAAAAUGCAGGAAUCAGUGAAAAAAUGACCUAAAAUAUCUAUUCAGAUAUUUAAUAACAAGAAACUUCCCAAGCAUGGAAAAAUAAUUUCACAUUACAUAAAUGAGGCAUAUAGAACUCCAACUAGCCAUGAUCAAAAUAAAUCUAUACCAAAGUAUAUAAUAAUCAAAACUCCAGAUAUUCAGCACAAGAAGAGGGUAUUAAAAGCUGUUACAAAGGGCUGGGGGUUUAGCUCAGCGGCAUAAGUGCCUGCCUUGAAAGCAAGCAGUCGUGAGUUCGAUCCCCGGUACCGAUAAAAAGGAAAAAGAAAAAAAAAAAAAAAAAGCUGUUACAAAACAGAGACAAAACACCCGUGAAGGAAAGCCCUUUGGGAUCACAGCUUACUUCUCCACACAAACCCAAUAAGUCAAGGACAGUUUGGAGUAAAGUAUAUCAAUACCUGAAAGAAAACAGCUUCCAGCUCAAAUUGUUGUACCCUAUAAAAUUAUCUUUCAGAAUUAAUGGACAAAUAAAAUACUUCUGUGCUAAAGAACAACUAACGAAACUCAUGACAACCACACCAGCUCUACAAAGAGUGAUAAAAAGUAUUCUAAAAGAAAAUGGAAAGCCUACAAUUCCAAGAGAACCAAUAUAAAUAAGCCACAUGCCAGGGGAGGAAAUUAAACAGAGGGAAAUGAUAAUGAGCCAUGAUGGGAAAAUUAUAUAUGAGAAACAACAUAGUCAUAUCAGCUAUACCCAUCAAUGUAAACGGUCUCAAUUCACCAAUCAAAAGAAAUAAACUGAGGGCUGGGGAUAUAGCUCAGCUGCCUAGCAAGUGACAGGUCCUGAGUUUGAAUCCCAGUACCAGGGAGAAAAAACUACAUGCAAAAACAAAACAAAACAAAACAACAACAACAAAAAAACACAAACGGCAGAAUGAAUCAAAAGGUAAGACCCAACUAUUUUCUGCAUUUAAGAAACACAUUUAACUCAAAAAGAAAUUCAUAAUCUGAAACUGAAAGGAUGGAACACAAUACUCCUUGCACCAAGAACCCAGAAAAAGAAGGAAUAGCUAUUUGAUUCACACACAAUUGUAAUUUUAAGCUAAUACAGAUCAAAAGAGACAAAGAAGGUGACUACAUACUUGUUAAGGGAAAACUCCAGGAAGAAAAAAUAACAAUCAUAAAUAUGUAUGCAAAAAAUACUGGUACACCCACCUACAUGAAACAAAUAUUAAUUGAAAUGAAAAUUUGAAUAAUCACUAAAGCAAUUGCAAUGGGGAACCUUAAUAUAUCCCUUCAUCACAAAUACAUAGAUCAACUAGACAAAAUCAUGAACAAAAAACAUCAGAACUAAAUCAAACUUGCAAACAAAUAGACUUAUUAGAUGUCUACAGUGUUCCACCCCACAGCAUUAGAAUACACAUUCUUCACAGCUCUACAUGAAAUGUUCUAGACCAAACACUAGCCCACAGAACAUGCUUAAGUAAAUGCAAAGGAAAGGAAAUUACCCCAUGCAUAUUAUCAGAUCAUAGAGCAAUGAAAAUGGAAAUCAAUAGCAACAUAAACCACAAUAACUACAUAAACACUUAGAACAAAUGCAUCAUAGAUAAAAUUAAAGAAUAAAUUAAACAAUAUCCACAGUUAAAUGAUAAUAGUGAUGCAACAUACCAGAACUUAUGGGACACAAUGGUAGCAAUCCUGGGAGAGAAACUUACAGCAGUGACUUCUCAUAUUAGGAAAACAGAAAAAAUUCAAAUAAACAAGUCAAUGCUGAAGCUUAAAUUUCUAGAAAAAAAGAAAAAAUCAAACACAAAGCUCAUAUAAGAGAGCAAACUAUAAAGAUCAGAACACAAAUUAAUGCAAUAGAAACUAAGAAAACAGUAAAAAAACAAUGAAUUGAAGAGUUGAUUCUUCAGAAGAUUCAAUGAAAUUUAUAAACUUGUAGCCUACCUUACCAAAAAGAAUAAAGAAGAGAAUCAAAUUCAUGCAAUUAAAAAUGAAGAGGAGGAAAUCACAAUGGAUACUGUAGAAAUGCAGAUCAUCAACACCUACUUAGAGACCUGUACUCUAAAAAGAUGAAUAACGCAGAAGAAAUUAACAGAUUCCUAGAUCCAUAUGAGUGACAAAAGGGGAAUCAGGAAAAUAUAAAAAUUCUAAAUAAGACAAUAUCUUUCAAUGAAAUUGAAAAUGUAAUUUUAAAAUAUACCAACAAAGAAAGGUCCAUAGCCUGAUGGGUAUACAGCUGAAUUGAACAAGAAAUUUAGAGAAGAUCUAAUGUCAUUACACAUCAAACUCUUUAAGAAAAAUGAAAGGGAAUCAAACUCACAAACUCGUUCCUGAAAGCAAGUAUUACCCUGAUAACAAAAUCAGAGAAGGAUUCAACCCCAAAAGAGAAGUAUAGACCAAUGUCCCUAAUGAACAUAGAUGCAAAAAUUCUCGGAUACUGACAGAAAGAAUAUGCAAAAUUCAUCAAGAGAAUUAUACCUCUAGACCAAGUAGUAUUCCUCCCAGGGAUUCAGGGAUCAUUCAAAAUAUGUGAAUCAAUAAACAUAAUAUAUCAUAUUCAUGAAACUAAAGACAAAACCCAUAUCAUCACCUCAGUAGUUACAUGAAAAGCAUUUGACAAAGUCCAUACCAAUUCAUGAUUUUUUUAAAAAUCCUACACAAUAUUGAAAUAGAUGAUCCUUAUUUCAAUCUGAAUAAAGUCAUACAUGACAAACCAAUAGCCAACAUCACAGUAAAUGUUCAAAAACUGAAAACUUUCACUAAAAAAUCAAGAACAAGACAAAGACAACCACUAUCACUACUCCUUUGCAAUAUGGUUCUAGAAACAUUAGCUAGAUCAAUUAGGUAAGAGAAAGAAAGAAAGAAAAGGAAUGAUGAUAGGAAAGAAAGGAGUUGAAUUAACAGGGGCUAGGGAUUUAGCUCAGCAGCAUAAGCACCUGCCUUGCAAGCAGGCAGUCGUGAGUUCAAUCCCCAGUACCAAUUUAAAAAAAAGAAGUUAAAUUAUCAUUAUAUGCAGAUGGCAUGAUGCUCUACUGAAAAGCUGUUGUGAUAAAAACAGCAUGAUACUGACCGAAAAACAGAUCGGAGAAUCAAUGGAACAUAUUAGAAUAGGCAGAAACAUCUUUAAAUACAUUUUGCCAUCUUACCCUUGACACAGAAGCUAAAUACAUUUACUGGAAGAAAGCUUCUUUAAUAAAUGGUGCUGAAAAACAGACUUUCCACAUGCCAAAAACUAAAACUAGACCCCUACAUAUCAUCAUACACUGAACUAAAAUAAAAGUAAGUCAAAUAUCUAAGUAUUAAAACAGAUACAAGGGCUGGGGAUUUAGCUUAGCGGCAUAAGCGCCUGCCUUGUAAGCAGGCAGUCAUGAGUUCAAUCCCCAGUACCCAUAAAUAGGAAAAAGACAAAACAAAACAAAACAAAAAAAAAACCAGAUACACUAAGUGUGCCCAAAGAGAGAAUAGGUAAAACUCUUCAAGACAUAAGUGUAGGCAAGGACUUCUAAAUAAAACUCCAGUGUCACAAGAAAUACCACAAAGAAUCAACAACUGGGAUCUCAUCUUAUUAAAAAGGUUUUACACAGCAAAGGAAAUCAAUCACCAACAGAGUGUAAACACAACCCACAGAAUUGGAAAAAUCUUAGCCAGUUCUUCAAACAAAGAACUAAUAUCUAGAACAUAUAAAGAACUGAAAAAAAUCAGAUCUGCAAAUUAAAGACCCAAUCCAAAAAUAGACAUCUGAAGUGAGUACAUAAUUCUCAGAAAUACAAACAGCAAAUAAAUACUUAAAACCAUGUUCAACAUCACUGAAAUUUGAGAAAUGCAAAUUAAAAUAAUGCUUAAAUCCCAUCUCAGUCCAGAAAGAAUGCCUAUAAUCAGCACAUCAAUCAGUUAUAAAUGAUAGGUCUGUGGGGCAAAAGUAACACUUCUCUGUUGUUGAUGGGAUUGUAAACUGGUGCAACCAUUGUCAAAAUCAGAUGGAGAUUCCUCAAAAAACUAGGACUAGAUGUCCCCUUCAACUUAGCCUUUCUUCUUCUUGGUAUCUUUCCUAAAGAAUUAAAAGCAUUAAAAGAAUUAAAAACAUAUGCACAACCAUAGCAAUACAGUCUGUAGUAGCUAAAUGUGUCCUUGUAUUUCCAUUGGUUCUAUCAUGUUGUAUCUUGUUGGAGUUUAAUAUGGAUAGUAUAAGCAAGUUUUAUAUGGCAAAUGAGAUAAUAUACUAGCCAUUAUUCAUUUUCUGUUAUUUGGUUCUGAAUGCCCUGUAAUUCUUUCAUUCUCUUGAAUGGUUUUAUACUAUUUUGUUACGUUUGACAUUAUUGUGUGUGAAGGUAUGCUCAACUAUUUAAAAAAAAAGAGACAUUAUGGUUAAUAUACGGUUGUCUUGUUGUGAAGUGCUGUGGUGCUUACAUUGUUCUGUUCUGAUCUGCUUCAUUCUGUCCUCUUUUGUCUUAAUCUCUAAAGUAAAAUUUUAAAAAUGUUGGAAGCAACCCAAAUGCCUAUCAACUGAGGAAUGGAUAAAAACAGGUGUGGUAUUUUUUAUCUAACAGAGUACUACUCAGCUAUAUGGAAGCAUAAAUUUGAGGCACUUAUAGCUAAAUGGAUGAACCUUGAGACCAUACUCUUAAGUGAAAUAAAUAAGACAUAUGUGUAAAUAUCAUACUGUCUCUCUGGUGUGAGAAACUGAAAGUACAAAUAAGAAUCAAAAUGUAUAAUAGACACUUCACAGUAAUAGAAAGUAAUUUUUCAAAAGGAAUGGAGAACUGAGGAGAUGGAAUGAAAAAGAAAAAAUGAGAAAAAAAGCUAAAAUGGAAACAAGGAUUUGUAAAUAAGGAAGGGGAAAAGGGUUGAAGAGAGGGCAUGGGAAUGUGAAUAGAAGAGGAGCCAAGAUAUAUCAUGUACAGUUACAAAUAUUCUAUAAUGAAUAUGAAAUUAUGUAUAUCUAAAUUGUACUAAUAAAGUUAAUGAAGAAAAGAAACAAUAUUGUAUUUCAAUAGGCACAAUGGAAGUUUACAUCAUAAGGUAUGAGGUUGUUUUAUACCUGGGUAGAAAGCUAUAUGUACACUGAUCUGUGUUGGUUUUUUUUUUUUUUCACUGUUAUGACAGGUGUAGGCCUUUUAUCUCCAUGUGAAAGUCCUCUCUUCUCUAUUUCAUCAUUUUAAAAAGUUUUUUCAUAAAACAUCAGAGUGAAAUAUAAUUACAAUAUCAACUUUUUGGCUCUAAGUUUAUCUUGACAUUCUUAUAAUUUUAUAUUUCAAGUGGCAAUUGUUGAUGUAUAUAUAAGAUUGAUUUAAAAUAUAAAAUAUUUUUCAUAAAAUAUAUAUGAAAGAAAUUUUAGUAUGGCCCCUUAGAAGACAACCAAAUCUUCUCUUUUGAAAGCAGCAUAAGAAAUUUUAUUUGGGACUCUCACAAAGAUGGCAGGUCAGUGAGCAGCAGCAUACAGAGGCUCCCUGAGAGAGACAACUCAGAUGCCAGGAUGAAACAUCUUGGAGAGGUCCAGACAGAGAGAGAUGGAUCCUCUUGACCCAGGAAUAAACCAAAGGUAAAAGAGCUGGUCAAACACACAGUGCCAGGGCUACCAUUGGAGCAACUAAGAUUAGCCGCCACAGCGCUCUCGCUGGAGUCACCCAAACUCACACCACCAUGACUUACCGGACCUGUCCGAACUUGCAUCAUUGUGACCCACCGGAUCCGUGAUCACACUGAAGUUGAAUGUUGGCAAACCCAGCAGAGAACAGAGCCAGCGUGGAGACCUGCAUUAACUCACAGUGAGUGCAGGGAAUAAGACCCUCUCACAGGAAAGGGGUGAACAACUGGACAACAUGUUGGAAUGGGGCAGGAUGGGCAGGAACAAGGAAUGGCAGUGACUUCAGUCAGUUGUUCCCUUCCCAGAUCAGAUUGGUGGGAUAUGCUUGGCUGGAUCGUGACCCUGGCCAGGUCCCAAUAAGUCAUCCCAAACCAAUUUUGUACACAUGGCACACACUAAUGCAGUAAAGGCCCCUGAAGUUGACUGACCUGGAGGGGAGGGGCCAACAUAAGCUGCUCCUGCUUGCACCUAAAUGACCAAUAGCAAACUGGAGAGGGCAGAAAUACCUAGCCAGUGCACUUCAGAAGAACCAUAACCAACAAGGAAAGGGCCUGGGACCUCCUCUAUACCCUGUACGGAAGAAACCAAAACAUGACAAGAGAAAGAAAUAAGAAAGAGUAUCCAGUUCCCAACCCUGAGAAUAUUGAUCCAAGAGAGUUAAAUACAAAAAAGACUGAGGGAAGCAAACAAUGCAAUAUCAGACACAGGAUCAGUGGACAUGAAGAGAUAUCUUCAGGACUUCAUAGACAAGCUCAAAAGUGAAAUAAUUAAUCAAGUAAAGCAAGAUAUAAGUGGAUUAAUUUUUUUGUUUUUUACUUUGAAGGUAGUAAAAUACAACAAAACAAGACAGAACAAAGCCAAUUUAGACAGUGUACUGACAUUGGUACAGAACUUCACAGCAGGUUAUGGGAUAACAGUAAUAGGUACCACAGUAUAUCUGUUAUCUUCACAAUAAUUGAUCUUUCAAUCAUGGAUAGCAAAAUAAAAUGAUAUGCAGAACAUUACAGAACUUAUCAAAACAGGAUAUUGAAUAGAGCAAUACCAUUAAUCAGAAUAAAGCAAAACAGUGGUAAAAAUAUUUACCUUCAAAGAGAUGGUAGAAGGAAAUCCCCCUUAUUUGCUAUAUUGCAUAUGGCCAGCCUCCUAAGAGAUGCCCAAAUCUCUGGCUCCCAUUUGCUAAUGGAGUGGGAGAAGAAGUGGGAUGUUUGAUUCAGCCUGUGUGCCAGUAGGCUCACUACCACUUAGAAGGAGGUGAGCUAUUUGCUUGGUUUCCCAGUGCCCUAAGAUCCAAUAUGGCAUGGAUCUCAGGAGAUGCUGGUGGUUCUCACCCUGGGGCAGCUGCAGCCUGCCACACCACAGCCCCUUACCAGGGAGGUAAGCUGAUUGCUUGGUUGCCCAGGGCCCUAAGUUCCAACAUGGCGUGGAUCUCAGGAGACACUGGUGGUUCUCCUCUUGGGAUGGCCACAGCCAUAUAAGUGGAUUAAUAAAAGAAAUGCUAACCACCUCUCAAGAAGAAACAGACAUAACAAUGGAGGAACACAAAAGAGGAAAGAAAUGUUUGAUGAAGAAUAUAAAGGAAACCUAGAAUACAUGAAUCAGAUUCAAAGAGAUUACCAGGAAAUUAAAAGCUUCAUUGAAAGCUGGCAAAACUACUUGAAAGAAACAAAAGACAGACUCUCAAAACUUGAACACAGGUUUGCAAUGUUAACCAUGAAAGGAAAUAUCUCUUAAAAAUAACAAGGAAACAGGCAGUAGCCAUACAAAGGCAAGAAGAUAACAAGAGGAUCUAUAACUUAAGAAUUAAAAAUGUGAAUGAAGAAGCAUGAGUAUGUAUAAAGGAGAUACAAAGGAUAUUCACAGAAAUAACUAAGGAAAACUUCCCAAGCAUAAGAAAAGGAAAUGAUAUUCAGAUGUAUGAGGCAUAUAGAACUCCAGCCUCCUACAACCAAAGCAGAGCUACACCCAGACAUAUAAUAAUCAAGAUCCCAGAAAUUCAAUAAAGAACAGAAUACUAAAAGCCAUCAGGGAAAAGAAACAGAUCACCUAUAAAGGAAAA